CAGCCGCCGCGGGAAUACGGAGGGGGCUAGCGUUGUUCGGAAUUACUGGGCGUAAAGCGCACGUAGGCGGCUUUACAAGUCAGAGGUGAAAGCCUGGUGCUCAACACCAGAACUGCCUUUGAGACUGUAUCGCUUGAACGUCGGAGAGGUGAGUGGAAUUCCGAGUGUAGAGGUGAAAUUCGUAGAUAUUCGGAAGAACACCAGUGGCGAAGGCGGCUUACUGGCUCAUUCUAGACGCUGAGGUGCGAAAGCGUGGGGAGCAAACAGGAUUAGAUACCCCAGUAGUCCCUGUCUCUUAUAC
rnacentral:rRNA from 1 species